UUGAUUAUUUACACCCACUAUUCGCCAGGGGACUACGAGCAAUAGCUUAAAACCCAAAGGACUUGGCGGUGCCCUACACCACCUAGAGGAGCCUGUUCUAUAAUCGAUAAUCCACGAUACACCUCACCGUUUCUUGCCAGACCGCCUAUAUACCGCCGUCGUCAACUUACCCCUUGAGGGAUACAUAGUAAGUUUAAGGGUAUUCACCAAAACGUCAGGUCAAGGUGUAGCGAAUGAAACGGGAAGAAAUGGGCUACAUUUUCUAUAUUAGAUUAUACGGACAACCAAUAUGAAACUUGGUUGCAAAGGAGGAUUUAGCAGUAAAAAGAAAUCAUCAAAUUCUUUUUAACACGGCCCUAGGGCGCGCACACACCGCCCGUCGCCCUCUUCGACUCUUUAAGAUUAAUCCAUGAUAAGUUAGCUAUGAAAUAGAAGAGGUAAGUCGUAACAUGGUAAGUAUACCGGAAGGUGUACUUGGAAC
rnacentral:rRNA from 1 species